rnacentral:rRNA from 1 species
AUGAACGCUGGCGGCGUGYUUAACACAUGCAAGUCGAACGGGGAACAUUUUAAAGAAGCUUCGGCAGAUUUAGCUUGUUCCUAGUGGCGGACGGGUGAGUAACGCGUGGGUAACCUGCCUCACACUGGGGGAUAACAGUCAGAAAUGACUGCUAAUACCGCAUAAGCGCACAGAGCCGCAUGGCUCAGUGUGAAAAACUCCGGUGGUGUGAGAUGGACCCGCGUUGGAUUAGCCAGUUGGCAGGGUAACGGCCUACCAAAGCGACGAUCCAUAGCCGGCCUGAGAGGGUGGACGGCCACAUUGGGACUGAGACACGGCCCAGACUCCUACGGGAGGCAGCAGUGGGGAAUAUUGCACAAUGGGGGAAACCCUGAUGCAGCGACGCCGCGUGAAGGAAGAAGUAUCUCGGUAUGUAA